UUCCGGGUGAUCCCGCCGGACCCGACUGCUAUUUGGGUGAGGAUAAGCCAUGCGAGUUGAAUGGGAUACCUAAAUUUCCCAUAGCAAACUGCUCAGUAACACAUGAUCAACUUACCCUGUGGAGAAAAAUAACCUCGGGAAAGUAUCAUAGUAGUUUAAACAAGAUUAUGAUACCCCGAAACUGAGGAUAAUGUUUCAUAAUUGAAUAGGCUUGGAAAAGUUUUUCAAUGAAAGGGAUGCCAAAAAUGGUUCGUAUUCGCCAUAGGAUAGGAUCGUGGUCGAUUAUGGUUGUUGGUGAGGUAAAGGCUCACCAAGCCGAUAAUCGAUAGGGGCCGUGAGAGCGGGAGCCCCGAGAUGGGUACUGAGACAACGACCCAGGCCUUACGAGGCGCAGCAGGCGCGGAACCUCCGCAAUACACGAAAGUGUGACGGGGUUACCCAAAGUGUUCUAUUUAGAACUGUGGUAGGUGAGUAAUGUCCCCUACUAGAAAGGAGAGGGCAAGGCUGGUGCCAGCCGCCGCGGUAAAACCAGCUCUUCAAGUGGUCGGGAUAAUUAUUGGGCUUAAAGUGUCCGUAGCCGGUUUAGUUAGUUCCUGGUAAAAUCGGGUAGCUUAACUAUCUGUGUGCUAGGAAUACUGCUAUACUAGAGGGCGGGAGAGGUCUGAGGUACUACAGGGGUAGGGGUGAAAUCUUAUAAUCCUUGUAGGACCACCAGUGGCGAAGGCGUCAGACUGGAACGUGCCUGACGGUGAGGGACGAAAGCCAGGGGAGCGAACCGGAUUAGAUACCCGGGUAGUCCUGGCCGUAAACGAUGCAUUCUAAGUGAUGGCACGGCCAUGAGCCGUGUCAGUGCUGUAGGGAAACCGUUAAGAGUGCCGCCUGGGAAGUACGGUCGCAAGGCUAAAACUUAAAGGAAUUGGCGGGGGGAGCACCACAAGGGUGAAGCCUGCGGGUUCAAUUGGAUUCAACGCCGGAAAUCACUAGUGCGGCCGCCUGCAGU
rnacentral:rRNA from 1 species